CCCUUAGAUGUUCUGGGCCGCACGCGCGCUACACUGACAGGGCCAACGAGUUCAUCACCUUGGCCGGAAGGUCUGGGUAAUCUUGUUAAACCCUGUCGUGCUGGGGAUAGAGCAUUGCAAUUAUUGCUCUUCAACGAGGAAUGCCUAGUAAGCGCAUGUCAUCAGCAUGCGUUGAUUACGUCCCUGCCCUUUGUACACGCCGCCCGUCGCUACUACCGAUUGAAUGGCUCAGUGAGGCCUUCGGACUGGCCCAGGGAGGUCGGCAACGACCACCCAGGGCCGGAAAGUUGGUCAAACUCGGUCAUUUAGAGGAAGUAAAAGUCGUAACA
rnacentral:rRNA from 1 species